rnacentral:rRNA from 1 species
GACGAACGCUGGCGGCGCGCUUAACACAUGCAAGUCGAGCGAGAACCCAGGCUUCGGCCUGGGGGAAAGCGGCGAACGGGUGAGUAACACGUGGGUAAUCUGCCCUCGGCAUCGGGAUAGCCCGGGGAAACCCGGAUUAAUACCGAAUGGCCCAGCAGCUCUUCGGGGCGGCUGGAAAGGGUAGCUUCGGCCUCCGGCCGAGGAGGAGCCCGCGGCGGAUUAGGUUGUUGGUGGGGUAACGGCCUACCAAGGCUCCGAUCCGUAGCUGGUCUGGGAGGACGAUCAGCCACACUGGGACUGAGACACGGCCCAGACUCCGACGGGAGGCAGCAGUGGGGAAUCGUGCGCAAUGGGCGAAAGCCUGACGCAGCGACGCCGCGUGAGGGAAGAAGGCCUUCGGGUUGUAAACCUCUUUCAGGAGGGACGAAGCCACUCGGGUUAAUAGCCCAGAGGGUGACGGUACCUCCAGAAGAAGCCCCGGCUAACUACGUGCCAGCCGCCGCGGUAAUAC